rnacentral:rRNA from 1 species
UACGUAGGGGGCAAGCGUUGUCCGGAUUUAUUGGGCGUAAAGAGCGUGUAGGCGGCUUUACAGGUCCGUUGUGAAAACUCGAGGCUCAACCUCGAGACGCCGGUGGAAACCGUAAAGCUAGAGUCCGGAAGAGGAGAGUGGAAUUCCUGGUGUAGCGGUGAAAUGCGCAGAUAUCAGGAGGAACACCCGUGGCGAAGGCGACUUCUUGGCCUGUUCUUGACGCUGAGGCGCGAAAGCUGGGGGAGCAAACGGG